UACGUAGGGGGCAAGCGUUGUCCGGAAUCAUUGGGCGUAAAGCGCGUGUAGGCGGCCCAGUAAGUCCGCUCUGAAAGCCCGGGGCUUAACCCCGGGAGGCGGGUGGAUACUGCUGGGCUCGAGUCCGGAAGAGGCGAGUGGAAUUCCCGGUGUAGCGGUGAAAUGCGCAGAUAUCGGGAGGAACACCAAUGGCGAAGGCAGCUCGCUGGGACGGUACUGACGCUGAGACGCGAAAGCGUGGGGAGCAAACAGG
rnacentral:rRNA from 1 species